rnacentral:rRNA from 1 species
AUUGAACGCUGGCGGCAGGCUUAACACAUGCAAGUCGAGCGGUAACAGAGAGAAGCUUGCUUCUCUGCUGACGAGCGGCGGACGGGUGAGUAAUGCCUAGGAAUCUGCCUAGUAGUGGGGGAUAACUUGCCGAAAGGUAAGCUAAUACCGCAUACGUCCUACGGGAGAAAGGAGGGGACCUUCGGGCCUUUCGCUAUAGAUGAGCCUAGGUCGGAUUAGUUAGUUGGUGAGGGAAUGGCUCACCAAGACCGCGAUCCGUAACUGGUCUGAGAGGAUGGUCAGUCACACUGGAACUGAGACACGGUCCAGACUCCUACGGGAGGCAGCAGUGGGGAAUAUUGGACAAUGGGGGGAACCCUGAUCCAGCCACGCCGCGUGUGUGAAGAAGGUCUUAGGAUUGUAAAGCACUUUAAGUUGGGAGGAAGAGCAGUUAACUAAUAUUUGACUGUUUUGACGUUACCGACAGAAUAAGCACCGGCUAACUUCGUGCCAGCCGCCGCAGUAA